rnacentral:rRNA from 1 species
ACUUAAAUUGAAGAGUUUGAUCAUGGCUCAGAUUGAACGCUGGCGGCAGGCCUAACACAUGCAAGUCGAGCGGUAGCACAGAGAGCUUGCUCUCGGGUGACGAGCGGCGGACGGGUGAGUAAUGUCUGGGAAACUGCCUGAUGGAGGGGGAUAACUACUGGAAACGGUAGCUAAUACCGCAUAAUGUCGCAAGACCAAAGUGGGGGACCUUCGGGCCUCAUGCCAUCAGAUGUGCCCAGAUGGGAUUAGCUAGUAGGUGGGGUAACGGCUCACCUAGGCGACGAUCCCUAGCUGGUCUGAGAGGAUGACCAGCCACACUGGAACUGAGACACGGUCCAGACUCCUACGGGAGGCAGCAGUGGGGAAUAUUGCACAAUGGGCGCAAGCCUGAUGCAGCCAUGCCGCGUGUGUGAAGAAGGCCUUCGGGUUGUAAAGCACUUUCAGCGGGGAGGAAGGCGGUGAGGUUAAUAACCUCAUCGAUUGACGUUACCCGCAGAAGAAGCACCGGCUAACUCCGUGCCAGCAGCCGCGGUAAUACGGAGGGUGCAAGCGUUAAUCGGAAUUACUGGGCGUAAAGCGCACGCAGGCGGUCUGUCAAGUCGGA